AUGCAAAUGGUGUACUUGCUGUAAAUAUGGACAAAUAUUAAUUUUGUGGGCUUUUAGGUGGGCAUACUUUAAGUUUUUGGUUGUUCAUAAAGGACCUGCAUACAUAA